rnacentral:rRNA from 1 species
UACAGAGGGGGCAAGCGUUGUUCGGAAUUACUGGGCGUAAAGGGCGCGUAGGCGGCCUUCUAAGUCGAACGUGAAAUCCCCGGGCUCAACCCGGGAACUGCGUCCGAUACUGGAAGGCUUGAAUCCGGGAGAGGGAUGCGGAAUUCCAGGCGUAGCGGUGAAAUGCGCAGAUAUCAGGAAGAACACCCGUGGCUAAGGCGGCUCUCUAGUACGGUACUGACGCUGAGACGCGAAAGCGUGGGGAGCGAACAGGG